AGCAGGUGAUCGAUUGUUCUUCUUACAUCCUCAAGAGUGUGUAUUAUACAUAAUUUGGAGGAGGAACCUAUAAUUGACUUCUUAUGCGAAAACCUUGAACCAAGCUAAGAAAAAACUACUUCUCUUCUAUGUUGCUUGGACUCUCCAAAAUGCUGUCUGCCGUGUCGGAUCCAUCACUCACUCGGCCGCAUUUUUGAAGAGUCUGAGUAACCUAGCUUAUCUUUCCCUUGUCAAUUUGUGCCAAGAAGAGAAAG
rnacentral:misc_RNA from 1 species